ACACAUUUUAGAGCCUAAUUCAUCUUAAUUAAAAAUUAAAAUUACAUUCAAGUCCAAAACUAUAAACUUUAAUUCUAAAGUUAAUUCAUAAAUAAAUUUAAUGUAAUCCAUUUCUACUUAAAAAAACUGCACCUUGAUCUGAUUUUUCAUAAAAUUAAAUUAUAAAAUUAUAUAUUUCAAAAAUAAUUUUUCAACGACGAUAUACAAGCAAUAUUUAAGUCGUAUUAAUCGUGGAUUAUCGAUUACAGAACAGAUUCCCCUGAUUGGAAUAAAACACCGCCAAAUUUAUUGAUUUUAAAGAAAAUAACUAUUAUUGAUCAAGUUUUUAAUUUUUACGUCUAGAAUAAUGGGGUAUCUAAUCCCAGUUUAAAACCUAGAUUUAUUAGAUUCAUAAACAUAAAUUUAAUUAAAUAAAAAAUAUGAUUUCACCCAAUAUUUUUAUUAAAAUAAAAAAAUAAAAUUAUAUUAAAUAAAUACAAAACUGAAAAAAAAUAAAUGUAUUAUUUGUUUAACCGCA
rnacentral:rRNA from 1 species